UUCAAUAUUAUCUGCACCGAGCUCUCUUUUCCCCAGCACAGUGAUGUAACCGUUCCCUGGCUGUGAAAUGCUGGCUGAGACAAGGUACUGGCAGUUUUUAAAGACAGUUUUUGAGAUUAGCUUCUGCCUCUCCUCCUGCAUCGCUCACCCUGAUUGUUGGUACUUGCUGGUUUCUCUCAUAAGAAAACCCCAACGAACCCCAACGCCUUCUCCCAGCUACACAACAAGACAGAUGACUCUUGCACAUUAACACCCAGCAGAAAUAUGCUUUUCUUAAAUGGAGACACCAGCUGCGCAGGGAGACAUAGCAUCUCUUAGGAGAACAGCUGAUAGAGUAGGAAAAAGGAGAUCGACACUUGGAUUAAAAAGCCCCUGAGAUCUGCUUCAGCAAAGAGGUAAGACCUCCAAAAUAACACAGUUUGCAAAGUGUUUCAAACACUUUGUCCCCGUGCCACCCAGCCCCACGUGCAGGGUCCUCCUCCAGCAUUUUGCUGCUCACCUCGAUUGUAUUUUUCACAUAUCUGGUGCUUAGCUGUACUUUUCUCCAGCGCAUCCUCUCACUCCAUGCCUGUGUAUGUUUACAGCCUGCUCUGAGAAUGAUUUACAUUAAAACCCCAGUGUUAACACUGUGGAGCCUAUUGCAUGGAAAAGUCCAGAGCCAUAAAGCAUUUACAACAUAGCAAAAAUGGUUUCCUAAAUCUCUGGCUUGCCUCAAGAUAUGGAAGAGCCUAUUUUUUCACUUUGUCCUCUGGAUCUGUUUUUUGCUCCUUUUCUCCGGCUGAGUAGCUCCACUGUAAUCUUGGAGGAAUGAAUCAUUAUCCUGCCUUGAUAAGAAGGGCAGAACCACUCCCUCAGCAUGUAAAAUUGAAGUCCUAUUUGAUACAGGAACUGUGAUACUCUUUAUACAUUUCUUUCAGUGAUGACAUGGUUUAAAAAUAUUAAAGGAGCUAAAGAUGUUAAAGUGUCUGGAUGAUGGCAACAUCUUUGAUAAGUUAAUUUUGUAUUCAGAACCAAUAAAGCACUGGUCAAAGAGACA
rnacentral:lncRNA from 1 species